GUCUCCGUGGCUUAGUCGGAAGAACAUCCGACUAUGGUGCGGUAGAACUCGGAUUCGAGCCCCGCUGAAGGCA